CUGUAACACAGGUGUGGUUGUUCUCAGUUCUCCGUUGCGUACCUGUAGUUUGCACUGACCCUACUGCUUGACGGAAACUGAAAAUGAGUUUUGAUCUGUCUUCAGCUGUUGGAAGUGAUGAGAAGAUUGAGAAGCAAUCUGGCCAGGAAGUAAAUUCAUUCUUUGGAUUUGGAAAGAAGAAAGAUGAAAAAAAGCAUGAAACCAAAGACUGUGACAAGAAAGACAAAGACCAUUGCAAAGGAGAUAAAAAAGACAAGAAACACAAGGAACAUGGUGAAGGACACAAGAAGAAAAAAGACAAGAAGCAUAAGGAAGGUGGACAUGAGUCUGAUUCUUCCGGCUCGUCUUCCUCCAGUGAUGGCGAGGGAAAGAAAAAGAAGAAAGAUAAACACAAACACAAGCACUGAGAACUCCACAGACUGUGAAGCGAGUCGACUUUUCAUCUGACUAAGAAGUGGAAAUCACUAAGUUUUCAGUAAUAUCAAAAAUGGCUUUUAUGGAAUAAAAAAAAUUGACAACCUACA
ensembl:lncRNA